rnacentral:misc_RNA from 1 species
AUUUCCCCAAUGGGUUCUCCGGAUUUCUGGAGACUUGUAGGGGUUGUGGGAUUUUUGAUGUGUCGUCUCCGGACGGGCGGUGCAGGGUAGUCGAGUUAGACUUGGUGGAAUUCCGUCGAUAGGAGUUCCGUCGAGUCUGGUCAGCUGUGUGUUGGACGGUGUAGGGUAGGCUGCUUGGACAUGGUCGGUUCGAGGAUCGAUUCGAGGGCCGGCCUGUCGAUGAUGUGUGAUGUAUGCGGUCUAGGGUAGGUUGGUUUGUCUUGGUUCGAUUUGAUGUCGGCUCCCGUGCAGGCCAGAGUGAGGGGGGUCCAGGGUAGGUGCAGGGUAGGCAGCUUAGAUUUGGUCGAUCUGGAGGUCGAUUCUCCGGCUGGCGGAUCUGACACUGUCGAAACGAGAUGCGAGGGGUGUAGGGUAGGCUAGUUUCGUACUUGCCAGGUUGCGAUUUGGACGAGAUAUGUGGUUUAGGGUAGGCUCUAGGGUAAGUAGAAUUCGAGUUUCGUCGCCGAUAGUUUUCUGUGGGUGUAUGGUAGGUACAGGGUAGGCAAAUCUCUCUCCGGCCAGUACUUGUCUCGUGGUCGUGAGUCGAUUUUUUGUUUU